AUAUAAUCAUAAGUGCCCUUCUAAACAGAAGAUUUUACUAUAGAAGGAAGCAGUACAACUGCUUUGAAGAUGGAGGAAGGGGAUGUGAGUCAAAGAAUGUCAGGAAUGUACCUGUGGAAGACAGAAAAGGUAUAACUGUAGUUAUACAACUACUCUAAAGAAGUCAGACCAGUGGAGAAGGAGAGAGUGACUGCACUGGAGCCCGGGCAUCAGGAAAGAAAGAUCGUGUCAACCAACAGUGAUUUUUCUAGCCAAUUAAAGGUUGGUUUGGGGCUGUAAUGCUUCCACUACACCCCCACACCAGAAGGAUUAAAGCUAUGAUAUAGGAUCCACAAUAAGGAUAAGGUAAGGAACAGGAGGUCAAAUGAGCUCUGUCGCACAGGCAGUCAGUCCCACGGGAAGGAAAGAACCAAAGAAUUAGCAUUUCUGAACUUGACAAGUGAAUGUCACAUGUACACAGCAGUCAUAUGCACCAGCAAUCUUAUUUGCUCUGCCCCUCAGUACUACAUCAGAUUUUAGGAACCCUUUCUAAGUGUGUUCCAUGUCAAUCAAGUAUUUUCCUUCUCCCAUAUGAAUUGAAUGGUAUUGUAGAUAUUUUAGUCUAAUCACUGCUCGUUCCCAUUCUUCCAUUUUUCUCAGAGAGCAGAGCUAGUAAUUGGC